AACGCAUAUGGCACCUGCCAGUCCUGCUGGAAAGGUAUGCCUGUUUGAGAAUCACACUAUCACUCUGAUCCAAUUGCAUCUAUGUGCAGUUUGGUCGACAUGGGCUUUCAGCACUGAUCGCCUCGAAUUGUUCGCGAUCGUCGUGGUAGACAAGGGAUGUGGCAGCGAUGCCGUCCAAUGUUGUCGACGAUCAAUCCGUGCUCGUGAUCUCAAAUCAGGCAAGGCUACCCGCUGAACUUAA
rnacentral:misc_RNA from 1 species